GAAUCAAAUAGGCCUCUCAUAGCCCCAGAGACUCUUCCAUGGUGCAAAUACUAAGGGAAAUAGCCAAAGUGAUGCCCAUCCUUGGUUGGAGGACGAACAUCAAUAGAUGUACCCAUUGUACAGUGACUAACUUUAAUCUACAGAGAUGUAAGUUACCAAGAAUUUUAUUCUUCCCACAAGAGCUGGAAUAAAUGGUUUUAUAAUGGCCCUCUGCCGUACUCAAAACUUGGAAAGGUGUAGGGGAGAGCAAAUGUCUGAAUAAUGCCUUUGUAUGAAUUGUGGUGAAUGUUAAAAUGUAGGUUCUGGACCACCUAAGUUCUCGGAUACUUUAUGAGUCCAGCAGUACAUGUAUUCUGUUCCAAAAUGAGUAGACACAGAAUUAGUGACCAAAGUGAAUGCUAUGGCUCUUCUCCUAAGUUCUUCCAUAGACCUCAAAUGGUGCAGAUGUGCAGUUUUGUGAAAUUCUGCCUAAAACUUACAGGAACUUAAUGCCUACUUGAAAAUUUUUUAAGACUCCAUUUUGCAAAAAGAAAUAAUUUUAUAAAUCAGGCACAACCAAGGAUUUUUGGCUAAGGGGCGUUGUCAAGUUAAAACAAGUUUAUGCCAGCAGAAUUUUCUGAUUUUUUUUUUAAUAGGAUCUGAGCAAUAUAAGUACUUAUUGACCUUGUAAGGACAUAUUUAACUUUGUCCUGUCACUUUUUACCUUGGUAGUGAAAUCGUUAAUCUUCAGGUUACUAAAUCACCUUGUUUCUGAAGAAUUUCUUUUUGUUUUACUUACAGAGAGUUGUUUUUUGAAAAAGGCGAUGGGGGCGGGGGGGCUGCCUAGAUCUGUUCUUGAUCUUAAUGUUUCUGUUCGUGUAUGUAUUCUCUCAUCUCAUAUUUUCACAAACGAGUUUAUUGCCAGGAAAUGAACAUCAUAAUUUGUAUUCAAAAAUGUUUUGGCAGUUAGUCUUCUGGGAACAACCAAAUGCCAAACAGCAUAACUGUAGAAGCUCAGAUUCUGUGAUACACAAGGACUUGAAACACAAUGUAAUGUGACCUUUCCUUCCCAAUUAAAAGACUAGUGUGAACAACCUUUGCACAUCCGUGCAUCUCGUACAACGUACAAAUGUUUUAUUUUGUCCAGUUCCUAAUCUCUUAGAUGUUUGAAGGAUUGUGUGCUUGAAAAAGCAACAUUAUUGUAGAUGUUACUAAUUUUAAAAUGAGUGCUCCUAAACAAUUAGCAAAGGAAAGGCCCAACAGCAUGUUUGGGGCAUUUUUAAUACUGCAGAAAAAGAUCUUCGCUUAGUAUCUAAUGAUAUGGAGAGACUACGUCAGGAAAGGAAAAUCAUCUCUUAAAUAACCAGAAUUCCCAACUGCAACCAUAUUGACUAUAGAAACUACAAACACCUGCCAGCAAGAGCUAUAAAUAAAAAAUAACCAGAUCCCUGGUAGAGACUCUGAAAGAAUUCUGAGGAAAAAAGAAAAGUCCUUGUGUACAUUGUUUUCUCUUCCCAAAUGCUGUUUUUAAAGUGACCACAAUUUUUCUAUUUACCAAGGAAAUGUGUGGUGUCAGAAUAAUAUGCAGCUGCAUAUUAACUACAUGCAACAGUUAAAGGCAGGAAAUAAAAAUCCUCUGAAACUGGAGGAGGCAUUUAGGCUCACUGGGUAAAAUUUAGUCUAAUCAGUUCAUUUAACAGACAAGCUUGUUAAGAACUUAAAAACUUAUUCACAGGGCUGGCCACGUGGCCAUGUGGUUAAAGUUCCACACUCCGCUUCGGUCGCCCUGGUUUGUGGGUUCGGAUCCUGGACGCGGUCCUACUCCACUCAUCAGUCAUUCUGUGGAGCCAUCCCACGUACAAAAUAGAGGAAGAUGGCACAGAUAUUAGCUCAGGGUGAAUCUUCCUCACCAAAAAAAAAAAAAAA
rnacentral:lncRNA from 1 species